UGGAUUUUUAAAGGUUUUUUUUUCUUUUAGUAAUAAAUGGUGCGGCGGAGCUGGUGUGUCCGGGGAAAGCCGGAGCACACACACUGCGCACACAGCACCGUCAGCGGCCGGGGGACAAGGGGGAGGCCACCGCCCCGGCCGCGCACUAUAUAUAGCCGCCCCGCCCCCAGCCGCCUCCACCGUACAGCACGCCACGGACGGAAAGGCUUCAGUGCGCAAGCGUCGCCCCAAAAUACAAAAAAUGGUAGGGCGAGAGAGAGGAAGAAUGAGGCGGCACAGCGUCACGUGCCGUUUGCGUCUGACGCCACGCUUUCUGGGAAGACGCGGCUGCCCUAAUUAGGGCAAUAGACCGCGCAUGGGCAGUUGAUGGCUGCAAAACAGUGGUCUGCAGAAUUGUAAGGCUAUUGUGGAGGAAGGGGGAGAAGGGCAAGCCUGAAACGAAGGGAGACACGCCAGGUUUAUUAUCAGAUUUGAAAAAUAUCCAGCGAGCUUUUGUAAGAGACGCAUGCGCGGGGACCUAUUACAACUUCGUCAUGAUAGGCAGCGAGUGCCAACACAUUUAGAUGGCAUUCCAGUAUAAACAGAGGAAAAACUGGUUCUUCUGGUGAAACAGCCAGAUCAAGCUUCUGAGUUCUUCAGCUGACCUGAGAAAGAAUGCAAGGAAGUAUUUUGCAAGUUGGCGAAUUCCCACUUUGUUUCUGCAACAUUAACUAAUUUUCAGUGGCUCAUAAAACAAAAGGGGAAGUAAUAAUACCACAGACACCUUGUAUAAACAGUUGAAUCAGCGUAGCACCAACAGAGCUUCUUCCUGAAUAAAGCAAAGGGCCAAACCAGUCCUGGUUGGUGAUCCAGUUAAGGAGUGAUUCCAGAAUGAGCAAAAAGGAUAUGUGGCAGGCUGGUAGCACAGGGGAUGAUCAAAGUGAAAGAGACAUCCUCACCCAGCUGCUGCAGAUGGACAGUAAAGAUGUCGUGCCAUGGAAGUAGCACUUUCACUGAGGACUUGCAUCCUGUCCCACCACUCGCAUGCGCCUCUUUGUAAGCUUAUGUUUCUAACAGCGAAAGUGAGAGCAAGCACCUUCUCAGGGUAUGGUCUCAUCUGGUUGGGGUGCCAGGCCAGAGCCCUCCCCUUCCCUGAGACUGUAGGGCCAAAACCUGAGAUCAGGAUGGAUGUCAUGGUUGUCACAAAACCGGGGUUGGCAAGGGUAAGCCAGCUGAUUGUGAGAAUGGAACCAGAGUGUAGUAGUCCAGCAGGGAAACCUGGCUAACCAGUUUACUAGGCAACCAAGAGUCUGAAGAAAAAUGCUACCCCCCCCCAAACCA